rnacentral:ncRNA from 1 species
CUUUGAUAUCGCUCGAGUAUCAAGGCGGAAGGAG